GGAUGGGCAUGCGUUCCAUUAGUUAGUUGGUAAGGUAACGGCUUACCCAAGACUUCGAUGGAUAGGGGAACUGAGAGGUUUAUCCCCCACACUGGUACUGAGACACGGACCAGACUCCUACGGGAGGCAGCAGUGAGGAAUAUUGGUCAAUGGGCGAGAGCCUGAACCAGCCAAAUCGCGUGAAGGAUGACGGUAUUAUGUAUUGUAAACUUCUUUUAUAUGGGAAUAAAAUGCGGGACGAGUCCUGUUUUGUACGUACCAUAUGAAUAAGCAUCGGCUAACUCCGUGCCAGCAGCCGCGGUAAUACGGAGGAUGCGAGCGUUAUUCGGAUUUAUUGGGUUUAAAGGGUGCGUAGGCGGUUUUAUAAGUCAGUGGUGAAAUCCCGGGGCUCAACUCCGGAACUGCCAUUGAAACUGUAGAACUUGAGAGUGAACGAGGUAGGCGGAAUUCGUAGUGUAGCGGUGAAAUGCAUAGAUUUUACGAAGAACUCCGAUAGCGCAGGCAGCUUACCAGGACACAACUGACGCUGAGGCACGAAAGUGUGGGUAUCAAACAGGAUUAGAUACCCUGGUAGUCCACACAGUAAACGAUGAUAACUAACUGUUUGCGAUAUACAGUAAGCGGUACAGCGAAAGCGUUAAGUUAUCCACCUGGGGAGUACGCCGGCAACGGGAAACUCAAAGGAAUCACGU
rnacentral:rRNA from 1 species